CCAACUUGUGUUUAUGCAAUAAAAGCUACCUAUAAUAAUUUUCCAAUCAUAGAUUCCUGCAACAAGCUUAGACUUAAAAGAGUUAAAGUAACUGGAGAUAAAGAAGUAUGUGCAGGAUUUAAUUUCACGACUAAAGAGGACUCCGAAGAAGAAUUAAAGUUCUGGUGGAUCAAAGAUCGAGGAAUGAUU
rnacentral:lncRNA from 1 species